CCCAUGUUCCCCCUCACAAGGACAUGAGGGAAUUGGGACCAACUGCUGCUGCCACCACUGCCACCUGCUGAGAUCUCCAGCUCAAAGUGACCUGGACCUACUCCAUCUUCUGGGGCAGAGAGAAUGCAAGCAACCACAGAGGAGAAGCUGCUUCCAGAGGUGAUCAACUGACUCAGGAGCCUAAACUUGCAAUUCAGAAGCAGCUUAAGGCGAAGGCUUUUCAGCAAGAGGGAUUUCUAAGGCCCAUCAGUUUCUGAAAACAAGAUUUUGGACCACAGAGAUUUAAACCCAUGAAGUGUUUACACCCUUGAAUGCCCUCGAAUUUAAAGCUGCAGAAGUACCACCCCCACCUCCACGCUUAUACCCUGCUCCAUUCCUCUGCAGAGUGAAGCUGCAGGCAGCUGCAGCAGCCCUCAUGCCCUGCUCUUUGCGUAUCAUUCCUGAGUUAUUAGAGCAAAGUCAGCAAGUGAGCAGAGACGAAGUUAUGACAUUCAGGGCCGGCAAGUACAGUAGCAGUGUAAACAGCAGACAGGCCCAGAAACUCCUCUGCCGUCCCUUCUAUCUUCAAGACUCAUGCUUCUCCGCUGUCCUGAAUCUCUGGAUAGCUUCAAACCUGAUGCCAGCCCUGAGCUCUGCUCCCCUGGCAAAGCAGGUACAACCCCUUGCACUAACCAAAGUGUUUUGGUGGCGGGGGGAGGAAUCCCUGCACACUGUAAGUGUCGGUUUCUCUUGUAAAACCUCCUCGAGCUGCCCUGCUGCUAUACGGCCAGUGGUUAGAGGGAGUAGGACAGAGGGCCACCAAAUACUCUGCUCCACACCACAUCUUCCACAGUUUGUCAUAGGCCCUUUCGUACUGAUUUUUAAGCCUCCCACAUGCCUGUCUCUUCCAGCUACCUGGCUCAUGAAACCUCCUUGGAAAAAAAAUGUGUUUACACUGAUGAGAAAAGCCUGACAAUGUGAAAGACAUUGGCUUGAAACUUUAAAGAUAAAUAAAUCCCCAUGCCCCAAUUACCUUUACUCACAGUGCUUGUGCUCUUUAAGGCAUGCCUCCUCAAGUCUGACUCGGGUACGUGGGGCAGCUGGAGUUGGCAGUAGCACGUAAGUGGCACUCAGGCAUUGUGUUGCUUGCA
ensembl:lncRNA